rnacentral:rRNA from 1 species
GAUGAACGCUGGCGGCGUGCCUAACACAUGCAAGUCGAACGAAGCGCUUUUGCUCGAUUCUUCGGAUGAUGGUGAGAGUGACUGAGUGGCGGACGGGUGAGUAACGCGUGGGGUAACCUGCCUCAUACAGGGGGAUAACAGUUAGAAAUGACUGCUAAUACCGCAUAAGACCACGGAGUCGCAUGACUCAGUGGGAAAAACUCCGGUAGGUAUGAGAUGGACCCGCGUCUGACUUAGGAGUUGGUGGGGUAAACGGCCUACCGAAGCCGACGAUCAGUAGCCGACCUGAGAGGGU